rnacentral:lncRNA from 1 species
AUUGCAUCAACAAGUCAGGACAAUCUUGGGACAGAAAUACAAGCGAUUUCCUUUAAUAAGAAAGUACAGCAAUGGCCCAGUUUCUUCCCAGCUCUCGGUGCACAUUACCGAGAUGGCACCAGGAGGCAAGCUGCACUAUCACUGAGGCGUUGCUCUGAGGGGAAGGAGAGAGGGAACUUGAAGAAUCAGCCAAUUUGCAGAUAAAGAGCAGGACGAGACCCGUCUCCCGGACCAGAAUAGUAAGUGGAAAGAAGAGGAAUACUCAAAGCUGAUUUCAAAAGGUCAGAUUCAAAGCACCCUCAAGUAUUCACGGCCUUCAUUCCUAAGAUACUGUCUCAGUUCCAGAGGUCAUCUAGCCUUGCUUUAAAUAAGCCAUAUGAUGACUCUGUGUCAUCAGAGUGUAAAGGAAAGGUCACAUGGGCUUUGAGGCAAACAGGACUGGGUUUGAAUCAAACUCCACCAUCUAAUUGCCGAGCAACUUGGGCAAGUUCGUCGUUCAUUUGUUCAUUCCCUCACUCAGCAGAAACGUCUCGAGCACCUGCUGGGUCCCAGAUGUUGUGCCUGGCACUAAGAAUCCAUGGUGAGCAAGACAUUGUUUUUGUCUUUCAGGAGUUUAUAGUCUAGUGGGGGACAGUGCUAUGCUGUGCUAAGGUUAAAAGCAGAGUAAGUGGGAGCAUGUAGGAAAGAGGUCAGAGAAUCAGAGAACCAGUGGGUGUCAGCCAAUGAUGUGAGGGUGGGGUAAAUAGGGGACCCACAUUUGUGGGGAAGAGGCUUCCAGACAGAAGGAACAGCUUCCAAAGGUUUGGAGCAGGAAAUAACAAGCAGACUCCUGGAAUUAAAACUGUCAAGUGUAGGGGCGCCUGGGUAGCUCAAUCGGUUAAGCAUCCAACUUUGGCUCAGGUCAUGAUCUCACCGUUCAUGAGUUUGAGCCCCGCAUCGGGCUCUGUGCUGACAGCUCAGAGCCUGGAGCCUGCUUCCGAUUCUGUGCCUCCCUCUCUCUCUCUGCUCCUUCCCCGCUUGCACUCUCUCUGUCUCUUAAAAAUAAACAAACCUUUAAAAAAAUAAAAAAAAAUUUUAAAAAUGAAAAAACUCGUCAAGUGUAGCUGUGUGCCAGGACAGGAGUGACAGGGUGAUACUGAGGAAGUAGCAGGAGGCAGAUCUCGAAGGGACAUCCAAGGCAAAUUCAAGACAAGCCAGGAACUGUAGAACUUCAAGCUAGGCAUCAGGAUCAGAUGGCUGAGAAAGCCCCCUGACUGCAGUGCAGAAUGGAUUCGAGGGGGUGAUGGGUCAGGAAGUGGUUGUCACGUGCUUUGGAGCCGUGCGAUGGCCGGGGCUGGUGAGUCACGGGUGGUGCUGAGAGCUCUUUCACAGCCGAAUGACUGGACUUGGUGAUUAUCAGAUAUGGUAGGUAAAGGGAGGAGGGACCCCGGGGUGAUUCCCAUUCACCAGAGAUAGGCACUGUCACAGGGGGUGGCACAGGGGAAGAUGGGGAAUUUGUGCUGAGUUUCAGGCUGAAGACUUUCCGUGGGCAAUUGUGUGAAUGUGCUGGGGACUUGGAAGGGUGACAGGACUGACACAUGGAGGAUUGUUGAAAGCACAUGAGCAGAGGUGAUCUCCAGGAAGAGCACUUUACUCAGUGAAGAGAAAAAGUGCCUUCAUCAGGGGCACCUAGUGGCUCAGUCGGUUGAGCGUCCGACUUCGGGUUCAGGUCAUGAUCUCGCGGUUUGUGAGUUUGAGCCCCGCGUCGGGCUCUGUGCUGACAGCUCAGAUCAGAGCCUGGAUGGAGCCUGCUUUGGAUUCUGUGUCUCUGUCUCUCUCUGCCCCUCCCCUACUUGUGCUCUGUCUCUCCCUCUCUUAAAAAUAAACAUUAAAAGGGGCGCCUGGGUGGCGCAGUCGGUUAAGCGUCCGACUUCAGCCAGGUCACGAUCUCGCGGUCCGUGAGUUCGAGCCCCGCGUCAGGCUCUGGGCUGAUGGCUCAGAGCCUGGAGCCUGUUUCAGAUUCUGUGUCUCCCUCUCUCUCUGCCCCUCCCCCGUUCAUGCUCUGUCUCUCCCUCUCUUAAAAAUAAACAUUAAAAGGGGCGCCUGGGUGGCGCAGUCGGUUAAGCGUCCGACUUCAGCCAGGUCACGAUCUCGCGGUCCGUGAGUUCGAGCCCCGCGUCAGGCUCUGGGCUGAUGGCUCAGAGCCUGGAGCCUGUUUCAGAUUCUGUGUCUCCCUCUCUCUCUGCCCCUCCCCCGUUCAUGCUCUGUCUCUCUCUGUCCCAAAAAUAAAUAAACGUUGAAAAAAACAUUUUAAUAAAAAAAAAAAUAAACAUUAAAAAAAAAGUGACCUCAUCGGUGAGAUGGCUAAGGUCUGAGAUGCAAGAAAUAAGCAAGAUAUCACAUGUAGCAUGUCUAGGAGGGUGCCUGGGACAAGGUAUGGUGGCCGUUGAUGGCAGGCCCCUCUCUUCAUCUCCCUGCGGUGCUGUGGGGCAGACUUGUCCCACAUCAGUGCCGUUUUCACACUCUUACCUGCUCUCAUCCUUCUUAACUGCCUCUCUCUUUGAUUUAAUACGAGCUAUGAAAACCCAAGCCUGCCCUCCCCGCCCCCUCAUCUAUGUCCCAGAAAAUGAAAAUGGGCCGCUUAAUACGCAAGCCCCGACCUACAUCUUACAGUGUUCAGACUGUUCCCAGCCAAGCAGGAUUUGAGUCAGAGACUGAGACUUGUGCCACUCAGGACGGAUCUUAAAGCCAUGGUUUGCUUCAUGAUACAUAGGAGAGAAAUCUGGUCAGGAAACUCCAGAAAAUCAUUUCUCGGCCAUCUGUCUUCCCCUGACUGGCAGCCAGAGACCGCUCACCAAGUCGUGUAUGGGAGCUCGGCAGCUCAGUUGGAAAGGAACCCGAGCCAAGGUGCCAGGGUGCGUGUGCUGUGGCUUUGGUGAUGGCAGCCGGCUGACAGGCUACCCCCGGGUUCAGCAGGACCAGAUUAUCCAAGGACAGGAGAGCUAGCUGCCUAAGACUUCCCAGAUAGUUCGUUAUCGGAAUGAACUUUCCAUCUGAUGGAAUGUUGGUCGUGCUGUACUGACAGCCAAGCCCUGACUCCGCUGGUUCUUCCUUUUCAACUUAGUCCUGCUUUGAAAGGAAAUGUGAACCAAACAGACUCUUCCCCAGUGCUGGAGGAGCCCCAGAGAGAUGACCCUCCCCCUCCCGCCUUGCCCAGUUGCCCCCAGGGCCUCAAAGCAGGAGUUAACUACUCUUCCCGGGAGUCUAUUGAAAGUGAGCUGACUCAAUGGAAAGCUUGAAUCAAUGAACUGUGCUUUCAAGUGAGUAAAAGGAAAGAAAAGAACAGACAGGUGGUGCUCUCCAGGAGAGGCAAAAUGUUUGUAUUUAUAAGAAAAAAAGCCUUCCUGACUUCUUCCUUACCAUUCUCCCCACCACACCAUCCAGGCUGCAUCAUUGCAGAUUCUAUUCUUGGCAUAGCACAAGCCUUCGAUUUAGAACAACAUGGAGAAAGGCAGGCGUCCUCCAUUUAUCCAACCAGACCAUUUGUCAUUAUGUGCAUCAAGGGGCAAUUUUGGCUGAGGCAGAACCCAGCUAUUGGGUUGUCAUCCCUCUCCAUCUAUUUGUGUCCAUUCAUAUUCAUGGGGCUCGUAUUUUGUAAUUGGAGGAGGAAGAGAGCAGGGGUUUCAUGAAUCUGUCUUCCACCUGCCCCUCUUGGCCUGGGUUUGAUCUCUAGAGGGAUAAGAAUCUGAAACUGACGGAAUUAUUUUCAUGGAAGAUUCUGCUCGAUUCUGGGCACAAGCUGGGAUGCGCAGGACCCAGGUGACAAAGUGUGGUCUGGGAGUGGGGAGAGGCUCCCCCCUCUGCCCAGAUCACAUUGCCAUGCUGAGGACUGGUGGCCUUGUUAGGCUUCUUCCAGUGGGUGAGUGACAGCUGGCAGAAGAGAUCACAUAGGGCAGUCCUGAGUGAUUGCUGCAGUCGGAAGCCUGGCCUGUCAUCUCCUUGAGGCUCUCCUGCAGGGGUUCCUAGAAUUUACCGGGGGCCUCCGGAAAAGGGCUAGAUUGUGCGUGGGCAAGAAAGGGAUUGCUCAGGAUCACUGCAUUUGGGGUAUAGACAUAAAUAUGACCCUGUGUUAUAGUCCUAAACCUGGAGACUGUGGGUCACUGGGGAGCAUUUGUGAAGGCAGAACAUCAACGUUACUCUUUCUGGCCACUUCUCUGUCUCCAACUGAACUCAGCCUUGACUGUCCAGGACCUCCUCUGGAAGAGCAGGUGGUAUUUCCCCCAGCCACUCAGAGGAGGGAUUCUUAGCCAAGAAGAGGACCCAGAACCCCUGCUACCUCUAGGGGAGGUCUGAGGAUGUGGGGUGAGCAGCAGAGAGGCUGGUGCUAGGAGUGGUGUCAGUCUGGAGCAGAUGGAAAAGAGGAGGGAAGUAUACAAUGGUCUCAGGUGGUUACGUUGAACCACACUGUCGGCCCUGACAGAAUCCUAUUUGCUUUACAGCGGGGCUAAUUGACAAGGACAAAUGUGUGAGCUUCCAAGGAGAACUCAGCAGAACCAGAAAUUCUACCUCUAGGAAGUGUUUCUUUUAUUCCAGAAUUUCAAUCCUGUGGGAGUCAAUACAACAGGUCUAGCUUAGGGACCAAAACAUUCUAAGAAGAAGAAAAAAAAAAAAACAAAAACACAAGACCUAAGAUCAACAAGACCAAACCCAAGACCAAGAUACCCUGAGGCCCCUUUAAUAGUAAUUCCCUGUAUGUGGUCCAGAUGCCAACCUGUAUGAUGAGAAGUUCUUGGGGUACUGGUUAACAAUGAAAUUCCUUGGUCCCACCCAAGCCCCACCUCCCUUGGGGAGGGCCUGGUAAUCUACUUUUAUGACAAGAACCCAGAAAAUUGCUGUGCACACUAAAAUUUAACAAAACCUUGUCUAUACCUCAGGGUGCCUGGUGGCUCAGUCGGUUGAGCAUCUGACUUCGGCUCAGGUCAUGAUCUCAUGGCUUGUGGGUUCCAGCCCCAUGUCGGGCUCUGCGCUGACAGCUCGGAGCCUGAAACCUGCUUUGGAUUCUGUGUCUCCCUUUCUCUCUUCCCCUCUUCCGCUCACACUCUGUCUUUUUUUUCUGUCUCUCAAAAAUAAAAAUAAAUAUUAAAAAAAUUAAAAAAAAUUUUUUUUAAUGUUUAUUUAUUUCUGAGACAGAGAGAGACAAAGCAUGAGUGGGGGAGGGGCAGAGAGAGAGGGAGACACAGAAUCCGAAGCAGGCUCCAGGCUCCGAGCUGUAAGCACAGAGCCCGACGCAGAACUCGAACCCACGAACCGUGAGAUCAUGACCUGAGCCGAAGUCAGUCGCUCAACCGACUGAGCCACCCAGGCGCCCCCAAAAAUUUUUUUUAAAGAAAACUCUGUCUAUAUCUAUGCUGUUCAAUACAGUAGCCACUAACCGCUUGUGACUAUUUAUAUUAAUUAAAAUGAAAUAAAAUGUAAAAAUUCACUUUCUCAAUUAUGCUAGCCAUAUUUCAAGUGCCCAAUGGUCUCAUGUGGCUAGUGGCUACUGUAUUGGACAGUGCAGAGCAUUUCCACCAUCAUGAAGAAUUCUAUUGGACAGAGCUGGCUGUAAGGAACCCUGUAAAUGUGAUGUAGAAGAUUACAAAUAUUUUUGUACUGAUAGGUGAACUUUAAUCAAUUUUUCUACAGAAACAUUUGCUCCUAAAGAGUGAGCUCUGCAUUGGUUGGCAUUGAUCUGUGAGGUCCAUGGCUGUCUCUGUGGGUCACAUCUUUCCUGCCUUUUGGUUGGGCCAUACAGAGCCUCUACAGGAAUUAGGGGAGUAGAGCCAAAUACGGCGGCCUGAUACACCUCUAGAUAGGUAUGCUCUCAUGACCACCCCUCAGUGGGGCAGUGGAGUCUUUGUGCAAAGCAGAAGUCUCUCAGUGCUCUGGGCUGAUGCAAACCUGGGCCUGCACAGUGCAUAACAUAUAAAACCUUACGCAGUGGCCCUGAGUGGGGAGUAGAUUUAGCUGAGGUUGCAGAUGCCUUUGUCCAGAAAAGACAAAGCUUUAGCGUCCUAUUUUUCUAUAUGAAACUUAUUGCCAAAUUGGUUUCCAUACAACACCCAGUGCUCAUCCCAACAGGUGCCCUCUGCAAUGUUUAGGGUCCUAUUUUAAAGCACUUGCUAAGGCUGGGCCCCAUGCUGGUUCAGGGGACCCAAGAGCCCCUGACAGGAGGUCGGUGCCUUCAAGUUGUUCACAGUUGGGCUGGGAAGGGGCGCUAAAGAGAACAUCCAAUGCAGUGUGGGAAGUGCAGUGGUGAGGGAUGGCUUUCCUACAGGGAAGUUAACCUGCGGGAAGGGCAGGGACAUCUUCCUGGAUGCCUGAGACCAUACGGAAGGAAGACCAGGAGGCAGCCAAGUGACCAGGGCUGAGAAAGGCCAUGUGACAGAAGGGCAGCAGGACUGAAGGUAAGGGGAGACGCGGCGUGGUGUUUGGGGAGCCACACGUCUAAGCUGGGGCUGCGGGAGCUGAGGGUCCAAGUCAAAGAAUUGGAGAUGAGGGAGAGAGUCAGGCGGAGGCUGGGGCUGGAGCCACACAGCUGGGGCUCCAUCCUGCUUCCAACGGGGAGGCAUGGGAAGGCCUUCAGCUGCUCUGAUUGCCGCUUUAAAUAGAUUGCUUUGAAAAACAUAUCAGAAGUAAUAAUAUAUUUGUAGAUUGCAUUUUAUCUAAUUGCAUUUGAGCCUCACAACACUCCCUAGAGAAGCAAGUUAGGCAUUAUUUUCCAUUUUGUAGUGGAAAGCGAGGCUCAAAGAGGUGGCAUCAUUUUCCCAAGGGUCACAUGACCCCAGUCAAAAAUUUAGAAAAAAAUUCAAGAUUGUUUUAAUAUUAAGAUUUCCUAAUUAUGAAAGUAGUAUGCAUUCAUGAGAAAAAUUGGGAAACUAUAUAAAACUAUAGAGAAAAUAAAAUUCACCCAUAGAUCCACAUUCAACUGUUACCAUUUUAUUGUGUUGACUUUCAGUCACAACCACACACACAAUACUAUUUAUACCACAGAUAUAAACUUUAUAAUUACAUAUAAUAUGUGUAGAUAUUGUACAUUCUAUAUGUAUUACAUAUAUAUUUUCAUGUAUUAGCAUUUUGUAUCCUGCUUUUUUUUACUUUACAGUUUAUCAUAAGCAAUUUUACAUGUUUUUAGAUAGUUUUAGAAGAUUUUUAAUGGCCGCAUGUACUGAUAAUUAAUUUCUUGCUCUUAGAGAUUUUUAAAUUGCUUCUGAUGUUUUCUGCUCGUACAAAUAUCGUUUAAGGAAUCUUACCAUUACCUUUGGAUAAAUGUCUUAAAAAAUUACUGUGUCAAGAAGUAUGACCCCUACUAAAGCUUUUUAAAAAUUUUUUUAAAUGUUUAUUUAUUUUUGAGAGAAAGAAAAAAAGUAUGAGUGGGGCAGGGGCAGAGAGAGAGGGGGACAGAGGAUCUGAAGCAGGCUCCACACUAACAGCACAGAACCCGAUGUGGGGCUUGAACUCACAAACCAAGAGAUCAUGACCUGAGCUGAACUUGGACGCUUAACUGACUGAGCCACCUGGGUACCCAUAAAGCUCUUGAUACUUUUUGCCAAACCGUCCUUCAGGAAGGUUAUGCCAAUUUGCUCUCCUGCCAGCUGGGUGUGACGGUGUUCUCUUUACUGAAGCGUUGCCACACUGAAGCCUCUGUGACAUAGCUCAGGGUAGGGACUUGCACUGUCAUUGCGGUGAUGCAAUGAGGACCCCGGACACAUUGCCUUUUCCUUCGGGCAUUCAAUGACAAGUUAGACUUGCUACUCAACAAGUUCCCAAAGCCAGGGUUCCUUACCUCGUGGUGUUUCAUGAUGGGGGUUUUAAAGCUUUGGAUAAACAUAGGAAACAGAGAUUUGUGUACAGAGCUAGAGGAAAGCUCUUUUAACCAAUAAAUACUGUGAAAUGAAAUCCAUCCAUCUGAUCCUCAAUCCCACUUAAAGGGGUUUUAAUAGACUUGAGGGUGUGUUUGAUCACUGCAUCUUACUUUGAAUGAAGGAAAAAGCGUUUCCCAGGGAGAAGGAAAAAACCUCGUACUCAAGGGGUGCCUGGGUGGCUCAGUCGGGUAAGCAUCUGACUUCGACUCAGGUCGUGAUCUCACCGUUCUUGAGUUCGAGCCCCGCGUCGGGCUCUGUGCUGACAGCUCAGAGCCUAGAGCCUGUUUCAGAUUCUGUGUCUCCCUCUCUCUCUGCCCCUCCCCCACUCGCACUCUGUCUCCCUCUGUCUCAAAAAUAAAUAAACAUUGAAAAAAAAAAACCAAAAACCUCAUACUCCAAUGUGGAGAAGACACUCUCAGGCCUCUUGAGGCAUGCUGUGGGUGGGGUCUGAUUUGCUCCAAAGCAAAUAGAGUGUGGGUCAAUGAAAUGUCAGUUGUGCAGCUCCUUUCCCUGGCUCUAGUUCAUGGGUGGAAAUGCAAACCAGAAAGAGAACAAGUGUCCCUCCAGAGUUGAUGGGAGCACAAGCAGAGUGAGUCUUAGAGAGGUCCUGAGACGCUUAGAGUUGCAAGGAGCUGAGAGGUGGCCCCACUAGAAGGUGGCAGAGGUAACUGUAGGCACAGUCUGGGCCACCUCAGGGAUGUUGGAGGAUGGAAAGGAGGUAGUUGGAUCUCAAGGGGAGUGCAGAGUCAAGACCCUAGGCCUUCUUCUCUGUCUCCCAGUGGCCACUUCAUUUUCUUUGCUCUCCCUCUCUGUUUCUUUCCACCCAUCUCUGGUUAAUCACCUGUCAUGUGGCCGCAAAGCAGCCAUCUUGGCCCCUAAGUCAGUGUGAGCUUUCAGCUCUGGGACUCUCCAUCAACCUGACAAUACUCUCCAUGUCUCUCAAAUCGGAUUCCUGAAGAGAGAUGUCUUGGCCCAGCACAUCUACAGGUGGUCUCAGUCUCUAGGUCAAGUGACCACCCCUAUCCCCUCAGUCACAGGCAGUCAUUAAGAGGACAGAUGAGUCACCAGGCAUAGCAUAGAGGGCCGCAGGUUGCGGGCAGAGUGCUGUGGUCAACUACAGAAUGUUUGAAGUGUGAAAAGAAGUUCAGUUUUCCUCUCUCUCUCUUUUUAAAACAUUUAUGUAUUUAUUUUGAGAGAGAGAGACAGAACAUGAGAAGAACAUGAGACAGAACACGAGAAGGGAGGGGCAGAGACAGACAGAGAGGGAGAGAGAGAAUCCCAAGCAGGCUCCGCGCUGUCAGCGCAGAUCCCAGGGUGGGGCUCCAUCCCAUGAACCAUGAGAUCAUGACCUGAGCCAAAUCCAGAGCCAAACGCUCAACCUACUGAGCCACCCAGGCACCCCCAGUUUUUCUCUUUUAAGACAGGCUCACAAUAUCCAUGAGACCAAACCAGAGGAAAGGUCAGAAAGGAAGAGGCUGGGGACAAGGCUUGUCUGGGCACAGAGGGAAGGUAUACAGGAGCCCAAAGAGCUUUGGCCUUGGAGUCAGAGGACCUGGGUUCAAAUCCUGGCUGGUGUGCCUGGGAGCGAGGUCUGCCUGGGGCCAGGGACUCUACAGGUUGCAUUCCAGCUCUUCAUCCCAGAUCCUGCUACCGUGCCUGAGAAGAAAAUUAUACUGUAUACAUGAACGUGAUUUUCAAAUUGCAAAUCAUAACCUUUACAGUAGAAGUUAAUGGCUCUUAGUGGCUGUGAUCUUUCUGGGCUCUCCGGAAAAGCAGAGUAAGACAGGUAUGACCGGUUCUAGAGCAAAGGAGAACUCAAAAUUCACAAUCACAUGACCCUUUGACUCUUUUAAAAAUCAUUGAAGACCCCAAAGAGUUAUUUGUGUGGGUCCAAAGCACUAUGUUCAAAGUUAAAGCUAAGGAUUAAAAAAAAGCACUUGACAAUCCAUUGUGAGAAAACACUAAACGUUAACAUAAAUUCAUAUUGUUAUUUUAAAAUAGUGAUAUUUUUCAAAACCAAAAAAAUCAAGUGAGAAGAUUGGCAUUGUUUCACAUUUUUGCAAUGUCUUUAAAAUUUUUUUAAUGUUUAUUUAUUUUGGGGAGAGAGAGAGAGAGAGAGAGAGAGAGUGGGGGAGGGGCAGAGAAAGAGGGAGACACAGAAUCCGAAGCAGGUUCCAGGUUCUGAGCUGUUAGCACAGAGCCCAACGUGGGGCGCGACCUCAUGAACCGCAAGAUCACGACCUGAGCUGAAGUUGAACGCUUAACGGACUGAGCCACCCAGGCACCCCAUUUCUGCAAUAUCUUUAAUAUCUGGCCUGCCACAAUCUGUUGGGAUAUGCGGUUUUGACUGAGGUAUAUGAAGAAAAUCUGUCCUCCGUGCAUGUAUAGUUGGAAAUGAGGGAAUUAUCUUAAUAGCCUUUUCAGAUCAUUAUGGAUGUUCUUUGAUAUCAUACUCCCUCAAUAAGCAGUAGUUGAAGUUGCAAUGUGGAAUCUGAAAUCAUAUCAACGAAUUUUUCAUUCUUUGUUCUGUUGCCACCCAUUGGCCUCUCUUGCACUCUGAGUACAUCUUUUACCAGUGCAGGAUUUUGUAAAAGCGUGCAUCGGUCAUUUGGAAAAUACCGUUUCAGCGAGUUCUGCAGAGCUUCUAAAUGUUGACAUAUUUCCUUACAUGGUAUUAAAAAAUUCCAUUCAUUAAUUUUACCACCAGUCUCAUCAGAAAAGUCUUAGGAUAUUGGGAAGCUGUCAAGCUUACAGUGGUAGAUGCAGAGUGUUCCAAAAAUUGAAAAUUUUUGUUUAAAAGCUCAAAUUCUAUUGCUGGCAACAAAUACUGUCAGUCGGUUUCUUUGACGUGACAGGCUCACUUUGUUCAUUUUAGAAAAUUUCUGCCAGAUCCCUGGUCUGAAUAACCACAUUUUGUCUGUCAGUGAUUCUUUUAAGCAAAAACGGUGUUCCGUUUUCUUAAAAAGGCUAGUUCAGCUCCCAGCGCAGACCUAUCACAUAGUGCCUUUCGUCAGCCACUGUGCCUCAGCAUCCAAACUGCUUAAUGUGUACUUCCCGACCUGUCGCACAGAACAUUAAAGCACAUAUACUCAAGGGUUAAGAGUAAUACAAUUAAUAAUAAAAUUAAUAAUGUUUACCACCUCAUCGAGAACAUUCUUUUUUUAAAAAAAUGUUUAUUUAUUUUUAAAUUUUUUUUAACGUUUAUUUAUUUUUGAGACAGAGAGAGACAGAGCAUGAACAGGGGAGGGGCAGAGAGAGAGGGAGACACAGAAUCCGAAACAGGCUCCAGGCUCUGAGCUGUCAGCACAGAGCCCGACGCGGGGCUCGACCAAGCCACCCAGGCGCCCCCCAAAAAUGUUUAUUUUUGAUAGAGAAAGACAGAGCGCAGGUCAGGGAGGGACAGAGAGAGAGAGGGAGACACAGAAUCAGAAGCAGGCCCCAGUCUCUGAGCUGUCAGCACAGAGCCCGACACGGGGCUCAAACCCACGGACCUGAGAUCGUGACCUGAGCCAAUGUUGGAUGAUGAAUUGACUGAGCCAGCCAGGUACCCUGCAUUUCUUUAUUUUCUAAAUGAAACUAACCCUGGCUUGAGGAAGUCUGCUGUACUUUCUUCUGGGAUUCCUUCCUCCUCUCUCGGGUCAGGCACAGACAAAAGGCGAGGGCCUUGGUUCCUUGGGGCUGAUGCUGACCAGCUCCUUGCCCAGGCCUUCUGGGUCCCUGCAGAUGCCGGUGUCUCCGAAGGCGGCUCCACCACCCAGAGCCCUGCUCCGUGGUGGGAUCCUCCACAGAGCCUCCGGGCUCUGGAACGUGGUGGCCUGCCUGUCCUCACAGACCCUCGUGCCAAGAUUCUGCCUCCUCAAGGUGCAUUGGCUCAGGUCCCUUCACCCUGCAGCCUGCAACCCUCCUUCUCUUUAGGAAGAUCCUACAUUUCUCCGCUGGAUCAGGCCUCCCCCUUGGCAAUCCCUGAAGUCCCAAGCCUUCAAAAUUCUCUUCUCUAGCAUUCUGGUAUAAUUCACCGAAUAGACCUAAUAAGCCAAAGGUCCAUGGCCCCCAGACUCUGCAUGAGUUUGACUGCAAAUGGUUUUUUGUUUUUUUUUUUUUUGAAUUUGAAUUAAUUGCCCAUAUUUAAAAAUCGAGAUCUUCACAGACAACUGUGAUAGUCUUCUCUAGAAGCAUUAGAGGGUCUGGAAACCUUAGGCCUGCAUUGUUACAUGGUGGCAGUGGCUAAAGGCGAGACAAAUGUGUCCUCUGUGUUGCCCGAGACCUACCGUUCCCUGUCACUUCACAGCAGCCUUCUCUGCUCAUUCACUUACUCGCCUGACGUCAUUGAAGCCUUGAGCUUGUCAUCUUUGUCCAGCCCUUUGAAGAACACAGGCUUUUUCGAGGUUUAUCUUCUCCCACCUGGCAAACCACACACAAAUAAUUUUUUUAAUCGCCCUGUUAUGGCCAAGAAGACAGAGAUAAGCCAGCCCGACAACUUUUUACAAAAGGAUCGCUAUGUUUCCUUAAGCCCGGUUUAAAACUGGGGGCUUCUCAGGGCGCCUGGAUGGCUCAGUCCGUUGAGUGUCUGACUCUUGGUUUCUGCUCAGGUCAUGAUCUCACGGUUGGUGAGCUCGAGCCCUGCACUGGGCUCUGCGCUGACAGCGAGGACCCUGCUUGGGAUUCUUUCACGCCCUUUCUCUCUGCUCCUCCCCCACUCGCGCUGUCUCUGUCUCUCUCAAAAUAAAUAAACUUAAAAAAAAAAUAAGUGGGGCUUCUCCCCAGCCAUGCUGCCAGUGUUUCCCACGGGCAUGUGUCUGUGUAGACGCCACUCACUCCUGGACCCCAUGCAGACCAAGAAGGCACCUGGACCUCCGCAACCACCAUUUCCACCUCCCCUGAAUGAAGUAGAUGAAAUGAGGGUGACAUCAACCCACGUCACAGGGGCUGCUGGGCAGAAGCAUUUGCACAAGGAAACUGAAGUCCAACAAGGCCUAAAACAGCAUCAGUCAGCAGCUUUUCUCACCUUCAUUUCAUCCUACCGACCUCUUGCAAUGACCCUGGGAGAGAGAAGACUGAAUAAGAGGGACCCGUGGGAACUUUGAUGCUGACUUUUAAAACAGUGCAUGUUUAGGUGUUUCAGGCUGGUGAGCCGUCAGGUGACAGGGGAAGGGGACGGGAGCGUACAGGGCAUGCAGGUUGGAUUUUUCAUUUCCUGGUUCCUUCUGAAGAAAUAUAUUGACGGAGGGUUGGUGGGGGGGGGGGCACCUGGGUGGCUCAGUCGGUUAAGCAUCCGACUCUUAAUUUGGGCUCAGGUCAAGAUCUCACCGUUCAUGAGACUGAACCCCGUGUUGGGCUCUGCUCCGAUAGCACAGAGCCUGCUUGGGAUUUUCUGUCUCCCUCUCUCUCUCUCUCUCUCUGCUUCUCCCCUGCCUAUGUGCAUUCUUUCUCUUUCUCUCUCCCUCUCAAAAUAAAUAAAUAAACUUAAAUUAAAAAAAAAAGAAACAUAUUGAUAACCAGGGACAGAACUUUCCAAGUCGUGCAUAGUGUUGACACUUCAAUAUCGCAAACCAAAUGGGAAUACAAUCUUUGAAACCCAAACAAGGUGAAGCUUCUCCAACUGAAGUUUGUAGAGGACUUGGAGUAUUGCCUACUAAAGGGCUCUUGGGACCCCUUCACACAAUCCCUGGGGUCCUACGGAGCACUGUUGAACAGCUACAGAUCUAACUUAUGCAAAGCUCAUAAGAGGAAACACGGGAAGUUCUUGACUGAGUCCAGCCAAACAUGAGGAUGUUAGGUAGUUGACAAUAUGCUGUUGAGGAAGACCAUAGCUUGAUGAAUGUAGGACAUGGGUUGGAAAUAAUCGCUGACUUACCAGCUGGGUGUCCAGGGUAGAUCACCCCAUCCCUGGCUGAGCAUGUCAUAUUUUGAGCCUCCUCAACACCAGCCGUCAUUCACAGUGUAGUGGUUCUGAUUAUUCAGAUGAGACUGGGGGAGCCAUUUUGGCCAGCUCCUCUCUGUGUUCAUCGUCAUGUGAAAUCAUGGGGCUUUUGUGGCCACUGGCUCCUGCCACAGGCUGCUCCUGGGUCAGGGCCAGAGAUCAGGCCCGAGGGAGGCUAGGAGAUGAGGCAGUUUAGGGAAACUGGAGGCGGGAGGAUGCGGGGAGUAGUUCAGAGUCAGCCUCACUGUUGCUUUUCUCUCUUCUUUUGUAUAAAAAGAUCAAUCUCAUGUCUAAUUCAUUUGAAAAUUCCCCACUUCUCUGUGUGUGUUUUUGGUAAAAAUAGAAGUCUCUGAGGAUUGCGGGCUCCUGCUGAAUUUUAUGAGCAACUUUCAAAGCUUGCUAACCAGGUUCUUCUGAUCUUUCCUUGAGUGAAUUAAGCACCAGUGGGAGGCUUGCUUUCCGGGUGACUGGUUUGAGUAAAAGGCUUCCAGGGUUGGGGGUAGAAGACUUUUAAGGUCAUUUGAUCAAUUUGCAGACCCUGGAAAACACAACAGAGUGCACAGGUUGGCAGGAAGUUGGCCCCGUCACCCCUGUGCCCACCCUUCCCUGCCCCUCCCUCCCUCUCUCCUCCCUUCUCCUUUCUCCCUCUGUCUCCUCUUUCCCUCCUCCCUCCCACUUUCUUCCCCCUUCCCACCUUUAUCCUUCUUCCUCUCCUUCUUUUCUUCCCUUCCUCUUUUCUUCCUCACUGUCCCUUGUUGGGACAGUGUCCCAACCAUCACUCUCUCUGCAGCAGACUCCCAGCUCACCUCCCGGCUUGCAGCCUUGCCCCUGUCCAAGCCAGGGAGUGCUUUCCAAAGGCCAAAUGUGAUCGUAUUUCCUCCCAGCUUUAAACCUUUAGUGCUUCUCUGGUUCAAAAAUUUCUUCAGUGUUAGAAGUCAGGAUACACGUUUACCUUUGAGGAGGAAAGUGGGAUUGGUGGUGGAGAAGGCAGGUUUCUGGAGGGUUGGCAAUGCUUGAUUUCUUACCUUGUGUGGUCGUUACACGAUAGUCCUAUUGUGAUAAUUUAUUGAGCUCUGCCAUGACAAUGUGUGAACUUUUCUUUACACAUGUUAUACUCCCAUAAAUUUUUUAAAAAACUGGUUCAGUGUUGAAUAUCACCCUCCUGUGCUUUCCAAGGUGGGGGUGAAGAAUGGCUUUGAAUACCAGGGAAGGGGGCUAUGGGGAUUGCUGCAGGGAAGGGGGAGUCACUGAAUCUUGUGACAGCUUUGAAGCUGGAGUAUCAAAAUAAUGAGCUAAUUUCAGUAGCUGCUGGUGUGACAGAUUUGUAGACUGUCUGAUGAAUGGUGCUAUGGACCUGCAGUGUUCUGAGAUGAGGAUGAUUCAAAGAAGCCUCUAGAAUCCUUUACAAAAGGUUAUGGUUUGGGAGAGGAGAGCAGGGAGAAUUAGUCCUGGCCCAGUUCCCAUCCAAGAAAGGAUUUGUUUCGGAUGAAGGUUGAUGAGGCACCGGCUUGGUGUUGCUCUUAGCAGGGCCGUGAGGUUUCUCCAUAGGAAAGCUUUCCUGAAGUGAUCAGGGCUCCAACAGGAUAGAAAACCACAGGGCCUGGGAGGGAUGCGAGGUCUUCCUCAGAGGCAGGCUGUAAAACUGUUCCUGAGAGGUGACCCUAACGGGUGGGCCAAGAAAGCGUUCCCGGAGGAAGCCUAAGGGUGCUGAGACACCCCCCCCCGAUGGUCCCAUGGAGUUAAGGGAAUAGGGGCAGCUAUAGGUCUCAGAGUAAUGGAAGAAUGAAUGUGUGGUGAGUGAUGGGGAACAGGCAGAGAGGCUCCCUCGCCUCUCAACCGGGUCACCAACUUGCUGAGCUUUUGCAGUCAUUGGACUUUUUGUUCACUGCAUUAAAAACAACAACAACAACACUCUUCAUAAACGGUGUCUGUCUCCACUUAGCACUUUGCACAUGCCAUUGAUGUUUACCUUCUCACGCCUUGGCCUCCCUGUUGGCCAUGGCCAUGAUGGCAGCCCUGGCCCUUUAUAACAUUGUAGUCAUCUCCAGCACCACAUCUGACACCUUGCAGGUGCUCGGUGAGCAUUUGUAGAGCAGUCGGAGGUGUGCAGAUCUUCAGAGGGAGAGCUUGCUUCCAUUCUGCAACCUCCCUGAGGGGUGGGACUUACGAUCUCCCGGAAAACUGAGGCUCAGAGAAGAUCAUUCAGAGCAUAUGGCUUAUAAGUGGUGGGACUGUGAUUCACACUCUGUAUUAGGAAAGCCCUUGCCCUGAAUCUCUAUGCAGCGCUCACCCCAUCGACUCCACCCUAGUGUUCCCCAUCAGCAAUCCUACAGGUUGCUAGGACUCCUACGAAUACCCUGUGAAUACCCUAAGUUAUUCAGGAUGACUUAGCCCUCCCGUCAAUGAAUGGAUCCCAAAUAUCCCAAAGAUCAGGUUUCCUAGCCAAAUGGACAAGUCCUCCUGAGAGCUGGCCCCUGGCUUCGCCUCUGGUUCCAUCUCCAGCCACAUGGUGUCCUGCAUUAAUCACACCGAAAUACCCAUAGUUGUGUGCCUAUGUCAUCCCCCUUUGAUGGGUUUCUCUUUCUAGAAUAAUACUUUGCCAUCUCUACUGGGCUGGGUAAAUAUAAAUAUAUUAUAAAUUAUAAUAUAAUUAUAAUUAUAACUAAGAUGCCCUUGACUACAGACAGCACAAAACCCACCCCUAAAUGGUGUAAGCAACGAGAGGACUUAGCAUCUCACGUGGUAAGAGAUCCUGCGGGAGGGGAGGCCGCUGGUGCAGAGUGUCAGGUCUCUGCCCCUCUCUCCGCUCUGACCCUCUUUGCAUUGACUUCAGCCUCAGGCUGGUGGCAAGAUGGCUGGGGUGGUUCCAGGGCUCACAUCCAGACACAUCAACAUCGUGCACAAGGAAACAUGGAUGGCUUCUUCCUGUGUCUGCCUUCCCGGGCACCCCCGCACAUCCCCUGCAUGGCUCCUGGCCAGGCCUGAUCGCAGACCUUCCCUGAGUCAAGGAGAACAGCAUUAAAAUCCAUCAGGAUAUACCCCUGGAGCUGGGGAUUGAGUGGAUCAUGCUGGGGAGAGGAGAGCACCCAAAAGAGUGAACUCUGUCUGCAAGGAAGGUCUCAGGAUUGAAGUGGCUCUAAAAGGUAUCCAGCCUAACCUUUCUAGGGAAGCCUCCUCCAGCUGGCAUUUUAGCCUCCUCACACCGCCAAUUCUUUCUUCACCAGCCCCUUCCCCACUGCCAAUGUCCUUGGCCUGGCCCUUUGCUCUUUGGCACAGUGCCCCUCUUUUGUGGCCCCACCUGGCCACAUCCCCCUGCUGUGCUUCCCACACGCCUUGUUAGCUCGCUGGACUCUAUGUGCCGCCUACCCACAACCCUGUGCCUUCUCCCUGGUCAGUGCACGCUUCUCAUGGAGGGGGCUCAGCCAGAUUAACCCUGCCCACCCGUGUCGCUGUCCUCCCACAACCCUCUAGACUUGGGGAUCCUCUCCACGGAUUUACCUGCUGAUGCUUUGCUUGAAAACCUUCUCAGUUCCAAAGUCAUUUCUCAUGCAUUUCACAGGCAUGUUUUUUGUUCCUUGAUAAGAAUGGUGUCUUCUAAUUCUUUGGCAACACCAGAGACAAUGAACCUCAUGCAUGCACACACACACACACACACACACACACACACUCACACACGCCGUCUUCCUACUUGAAAGCCACACUGGGAAGGGAGGCAGCCAAUCAGUGCCGCUAAGUAGCCAGCGUGCCCUCAGCCUGGCGUCUCGCCCUUGCCCUCGCCCCUCUGUUUGCAGAGAUGGCAGCUGCCUCUGUAUGUCUGGAAGGUUGCAAAAGGCGCAGCUCCAGCAGCUAGGGCCAGAAAACCCUAGGACCAAUUUGCUUUUUGGGGCUAGAGUGUUAGUCUUGGGGAAUAACUGAAGCUCUAUGGUGAACAAGCUUCCUGAGCCACUGCUAGGGGGUGAUCGCGGGAAACCAUUCCUGGGGGUGGCAGGAGCCCCUUGGGGGAGAAGCUUGUUUCGGGUGGGGUUCUUGGCUGCAAGCAACAGAAAUCAACUUUGUCUGGCUCAAGCNNNNNNNNNNNNNNNNNNNNNNNNNNNNNNNNNNNNNNNNNNNNNNNNNUAGGACCAAUUUGCUUUUUGGGGCUAGAGUGUUAGUCUUGGGGAAUAACUGAAGCUCUAUGGUGAACAAGCUUCCUGAGCCACUGCUAGGGGGUGAUCGCGGGAAACCGGAACCCGUGGAGCACCUGCGAUGUGCUCUGUACCUGUUCCUCUUUCAGCCAGCGCUGCUUCUCUGCCAGUCUGUCUCUGCGUCCGUCUGUCUGGAGGGUUCCACAUAACUCUGCUAAGCUCAAAUAGCAUCCGGUGGUAAAGUCCCCAGGAAAAGUUUCUUCUCUUUUUUUUCUGUUGUUGUUAUACUUUGUUGCAAAACCUUUUGCUUGGCCUCAGCUCAGCCCAUAAGAGAGUGCAUUGCCCACCUGCUUGCCUCUCUACUGGGGGAUGAGCUCCUGAAGGCCAGGAAUCAUAAUUUUUCUAGAUCUUUGGGUCCUCUGAGGACGGAUCCAUGCCUGCCAGGUAAUAAUAAAUAAAUUCUUGUGGAAUUAAAUUAAUUGUUGCUGAGGGCAAUAGAAAUCAAGAUUCAGAAGGAGUGAAUGAACCCAGAACUUAAAUACAGAGACUCUUAAAUAUGUAUUUCUCCCCUUUAUUAUGGUGCAUGGAAAGAGAAAGGAGAAAAAGGGAAGGAAAUAGAAGAAGUAAAGAUUGACCAGGGCUCUCCCUCUCUCGAUGAGCUUCUUUUAUUUUUUAAAAAAUGUUUAUCUAUUUAUUUUGAGAGAAAGUGUAUGUGCGUGGUGAAGGGGCAGAAAGAGAAGGAGAAAAUCCCAAGCAGGCUCUGUGCUGUCAGCAUGGAGCCCGGUGUGGGGUUCCAUCCAUCAUAUGAACCGCAAGAUCAUGACCUGAGCCCACAUCAAGACUCGAGGCUUAACCGACUGAGCCACGCAGGCGCCCCUCCCUCUCUAAAUGAGCUUCUUAAGAGCAAGAACUAUUCUAUAUCCUGUGGCCCUUCUCAGUGCCUAGAAUAUGGGAAAUGAUCCAUAAAUACUUGUUGAGUAAAUACAUGGGAUAUGGGUCAGGUUGUGCUUUGGGGCUGGAUUCUGAGCACUGAUUGAGGUAGGGCACGAGGACCUUGGAAUCUAAGAUGGGAUAGGGCAGCCCUUAUGAAGGAUAAUCAGUUUGGCCUCUGUUGCCAAGACCUGUGGUUGACCAACUAGCUUCUCUGUCUUCAGCCUCCCCCAACCCCUACUCCCUACCCUCAGCUCCAGCACCUGCAAGGUCACAUUUCAGACUCUAAACUGAGGCCUUUGAGACCAAACCUGUCCCUCAUGUAUGCCAGACCCCCUGGAAAAACGGUAAGUGGAGGCCCAGGGGCCAUAUGUCCAAACAUAAUCAAGUUAUAAACCAAGUGAAGCACCUGUUCAAUAAAAUAUAUGCUAGCCUCCCAUUUUGACAAAUAUAUCUUCAAAACAACAACAAAAAAGGUGUAUAAAGCUAUAGCUUUUAUAUGAUGGAAAUUUAGCCAAAUAUGAAAGAUGACUGACUUAAAUUAUAAUUAAAAUCUAGGCAUUCUGUUGAUGAACCAGUGAUAACAGGGCGAAUUAUAAAACAAAAGCACAUCUAAUUCAUAAAUGACUAUGCAUUUACACCAUAAUUUUAGUGUUUAUGUUUUUGUUUCAGGAAAAUCACUAGUUGUGUUAUUAUACAACCAAGAUAUUCACAUCACGUGUUCUAUUGAUGGUAAUGAUCUGGAUUAAAAAAACAAAAUAAUUAACAAUAAUAUCUUUAAAAAAGGGAUCAUAUUCAAAGGAUUCAAAGUCUUAGCAUAUUUUAUCAUAAAGUGUAGCUCAAACUAAAUGGAAACUAUUUGAACAUAAAAUUUUCAUGUGCAUUUCAGAAAAGUAAUAUUUCUUUUACUAUGAUAAAAUUAAGGGUAAAAUACAAAUUUAAUGAAUAUAAAAAUGGUUCACCAAAGUUAUUUCAAUCAAGCUAAAUAAAACUAUUCCUACAAUUGUAGUAUGUAAUAGCCAUACAUUACCAGUGUAAAAAACCAGUAUCAUCCCUUAUCACAUUGUGUCUAGACCACUGGUUCUCACCGGGGGGUGGUUUUGUCCCCCAGAAGCGUUUGGAGAUGUCUGCAGACAUCUGUGGUUGAUACAGCUUGCUAUGGUAUCCAGCCAGGAGGGGCCUGGGAUGCUGCUAAAUAUUCUACAAUGCAUACAAAAAAGACUUCACCACUCUAAGAUGUCAGUAGUGCUGAGGUUGAGAAACCCUGGUAACACACACACACACACACACACACAGAAGAGACUCAUGAACUGUUGGAUACUGCCAAAUGUUCUUUCACUGCUAUGUGCAGUUGUUGUGGAUACUACGCUAAUUAUGGGUAACUCCAGAAUCACGAAUUGGAACAUGAAGAGAAGCAAGAAAAUGGACAGGCGACACAGACUGCAUUCUGCAAGAAUCUGUGGCCCUCUUGCUAGGUGAGAGGAAGAAUUUGACGUUUUGAUUAAUUGUCUUUUCUUUUACCUAAGCGCUUCUGCCUAUCAGUUACCCUCCCCCCCGCCACCCCCCCCUUAGCUAAUGCACAUUCUGAAAUAAUGUCCAUCUCCAACGUCAGAAACAACACAGCCCACAGAUCUUGACGUUCGGACGCAGUCACCUUUUGUUUCAAGGUCGUAAGACAAGAGAUGUGGAGAAGGGCUGUCCUGGGGCCUGAAUGGUGUCAUUCCAAGAGUGGGUGUUUAAGGUUACGGAUCAUGCUGUACCAGAGUCAGGCAGCAGAUCCCGAGUGACAGAGGUGCCCAUGUUUUCCUUCAUAAAUGUAGUUUCUGUGUGUUUGUGACAUGGUGAUGGGGGUGGGGGGGAGCUCUGAAGCCUGAGGCCCAGGGCAGGGGCUAGGAGCUGCCAUGUCCCAUUAUCAACCUCGGGCUCGGAGCAGGAACAGGGAGGAGCUGAGAGGCUGUUAACAUCAGAUCAUCUGCAGUUUUCCAACUCUUUUGCAGAACAGCAUGCUGUUUAGCUGCCAAAAUAUUAGGACUGAAAGCAGCUGGCAAAACUGUUCAUGGAGGAAGUGAGCCUGCUCGGAGAGGCCAAAGGAAAAUUCUCCUCGACUGUGACCCCAGAAGGACCCCCGGGCCUCAGGACCUCUUUUGGAAGCCUCUGCUCAGUCAGCUUGGGGCUCCCUCAGACCCCAGGGCCCCGGGGGCUCCUUUGAAGAGGUAUGUUCUGAGACCAGUGCUUAUUGCUGGUCCUUUCUGGGGCAGUGGGACUGAGGAGACCCUUGUCAUUGCUCAAAGAAAUUCUCAGCCUCAUACUGAACUUAUUCUCAGCUUAUGUUUAGUGAAACCGGAAAACAAAAAGAAGUAGACAGAAAAAGCUACCUCCAUAUAUAACUCAGCUAAUACUUCUAAAGAGACAGGCCCAACGGGGAACAAAUGACAGCCGCCUGUGCAAGUGAGUAUUGAGAAGACAGAGGGGACCCAUGGCUUUACUGAGACUCAUCCCUGCAGCCGUUUACAAGUCUCUUUCCAAACGGCUAUCACUUGGUCCUCACUGCGACCUCAGGACAGGUAGCCAGGCAGGUUUCUUUUCAUUUUACAGGAUACUGACUUUGAAAGAUAGAGUCACUCACUCACUCAGGAAGGCACAUCCAGGAGGCAGCAGAACCAAGAGUAAGACUUGGUCUUUUGGCUCUAAAAUCGUGCUCUUUCCAGUGACAUCAGUGUUUCAGUCUGUGGACCCUAGAAGUUUCCAUUUUUAUAAGGGGUUUGUGAAUCCAAAUGUAUAGUAGUUUCCACCUGUAGCCUCAGCUGAUAGAUUUAUAACCACCGUCAUGUGAAGAGGGUCUAGACUCUAUUGACACUGAUAAGAGCUCUUAUGGAAGAGUCUGGCAACCGACACAUUACCCCCUGCUGUAUCAAGUCUCCUGGCAGAGAGGUGACAUUCUUUAUCACUAGCGACACAGGGCACAAAAAUUCCUACAAGUGGACAGAGCUAGGAUUGAGACACAAAUCUUGGCUUUAUGUUUUGUGGUAUGCAAUGGACUCGUGAUUCAGAUAGAGAACACUGCCCAGAGGACGUGGGAGGUGCUCAAAAAUUUUAUCAACUGACCAAGUGACUAAAUUGGAGACGAGGAGACGUCAAAUGCCAAAGGGAAAAGCAGCCUCCGGGUGGCAAGUAAGGUGGGGAAAUCAGCAAGGGAAUCCCCUCACCCAUGAGGGAAAAGGAAUGGAAACAAACAGCAAAAGCAGUUAGCAGAUUGUUAAAAACUGGAAAGCUUUUGGAAUAAUGACAUAACUGUGCAGUCUCAUUAGACGUUCUAAUGGGAACAGAAAAGAAAUACUCGCCGCCAAUUUCCUUUCUGUUCCUGUAAUCUGUAGUACAUUUUUAAAGUAUCUAGUAGGGUGUUAAGUCCUUUUCAAUCACUACGAGUUCAUCCAUUCAUUCAACAAAUGUUCAUGGCGUGGCUAUUAAUAUGCCAGGCACUGAUCUGGUGUUGGGGAUAUAACAGUAAACAAAACAGACAAGAGAUUACCCUCAUGGAGCUCACAUUCUAGACAAUGAAGAAAUGAAAACUUAAACUACAACAGUAUAUCAGGUGGUGACAAGGGCUAUAGAGAUGAUGGCAGGGGAGAGACCUAGAAAUUGGCAAUUUUAAAUACGAUGAUCAGGGACAGCCUCAUUGAGAAAGUGAUGCUUGAACCAAAGCCUGAGGAUACGAGGGAGCAAAUCAAGCAGAUAUCUGAGGGAGGAACAUACCUGGUGUUCAGGAGCAACAAGGAAGCCAUUGCAGGGGAACAGAGUGAGAUAGAGAAGCAGGACGAGACUGGAGUCUGGGUUACACAGGACCGUACAGGCUAUUGAAGGGUUAGGAGCUCUUACCCUGAGUAACAUGGGAAGAGGUGAUGUGAUCUGACCUGCAUUUUAGCAGGUUUCUCUGGCUACUGUGCUGAGAAUAAAAGUAGGGAAUCAAGGGUGGGAUUAAGGACAUCAGUUAGAAGGUUCUGGAAAAAGUCAAGAAGAGAGAUGAUGGUCGUCUGGACCAAGGUGGUAGCAGUGGAGGUGGUGACAAGUGACUGGACUCUGGAUGUUUUAUGAAGGUGGGAAAGGCAAGAUUUACUAAUAAAUUAGAUGCAGAGUGGGAGGGAAAGAUUUAUCAAGGGUGAUGCCAGGGUUUUGAACCUGAACAAUGACAAGAAUACAGUUGCCAUUUAACUAACGCAAGGAAAGCAGUGGAGGGAGCAUGGGUUUGGAGGAGAAAAUCAGAAGUUUGGUUUUGAUUGUGUUGCGUUUGAGAUAUAUUUGUGUGUGUGUGUGUGUGUGUGUGUGUAUCUCAAAGGAGAGGUUCAUAUUUGAAGUAUGAAUUUGGAAGCCAUAUCACAAAAAGAGUACUGAGAACAUUUACCAAGAGAGUAUUGGAGAGGAAAAAGGGUCAGAGAACUGAAGCCUGGAGAUUUGAGCAGGUUGUAAUCAACCAAAGCCUGGGAAUGGGUGGCUAGUGAAGUAGGAGGAAACCAGGGAAGUGUAGACCACCAGGAAUCAAGCGAAGAAACUGUUUCAAGAAGCGUUGCUAUCUCACCUGGGGCAAAGGCUGGGAGACAGUAGGCAAGAUGAGCAUUGAGAAUUAAUUGCCCAUUAAACUUAGUAACAUGGAAGUCAACACUGAACUGGACAAGAACAGUUUCUGUGAGGCAAAUGACAGCUUGACUAUUGAGGGUUAAGAGAAAACAGGAAGAAAUGUAACCGGUGAAUAUAGACAACUCUUUUUAGGAGCUGGAUGCCAAAGAGGGUGGAGAAAGGAGAGCGUGUGACUUGAGGGGGCCGUCAGUCAAGAGAGGCUUCUUUUUGUUUUUUGUUAAUUUUUCUGGUUUUGUUGUAUUUAUUGGGGUGGGGGAGGGUGAGAGAGAGAGAAAAAAAAGAGAGAGAGAAUCCCAAGCAGAGAUUCAGUGCAGAGCCGAAUGUAGGACUCCAACUCAUGAACCCUAAGAUCAUGACUUGAGCUGAAAUCAACAGUUGGAUGCUUAACCUACAGAGCCACCCAGGUGCCCCUCCCCCCCACCAGGAAGCCAGGUCAUGGGCUGAAGGGCAGGAGGGAGGAGCGGUGCUGGAGGUAUUUGAAGAGAUCUUCCUCCCAAGUCUGUCGUGGGGAUUACCUGGCCCAUAGGAGAGGCUUAUAAACUGAAAGGAAUUCCUGUGUCUUUGUGAUUGUUGUUCAGAGCAAUUUUUUUGAACAUUACAUAUAUUGUUUUUAUUAUUAUAGUAAUAUUUCAUGUUUGAUAUAGAAAAUUAUGGAAAAGGCAGAAAAGUAUAAAGAAAAAAGUCAUGAUAAUUAUUCUCCAAAGAAAAUAGCUAUUAACAGUUGGACGUGUAUCCUUCCAGCCCCUUCUAUGAAUAUACAUUAUGGAUAUCCUGUUUUGUAUGUUGCUUUCUUUGCUUCACAUUGUAUUUCACUGUCUUCUCAUGUCCUUUGGUAAUGCCCCCAAGUAUGAUUUUUUUUAAAUUUUUUAAUGUUUAUUCAUUUUUUGAUAGACAGACAUGAGUGGGGGAGGGGCAGACACAGAGGGAGACACAGAAUCUGAAGCAGGCUCCAGGCUCUGAACUGACAGCACAGAGCCCGACGCGGGGCUCGAACUCACGGACCGUGAGGUCAUGACCUGAGCCGAAGUCGGAUGCUUAACUGAUUGAGCCACCCAGGUGCCCCCAAAUAUGAUUUUUAAUGGCUAUGAAUUCCAUAAAUGGCCGUAAUCAUUCCAUCAGGUGGCUGUUCUACCAUUUACCUUGAAAUUUCCCUAUUUUGGACGUUAAAGUUAAUACCAGUGUUUCACAUGUGUAAUUAAUGCUAUAAUGGACAUCCUCGCAGAGAAAUCUUUAUGCUCUGGUGAAUUCUUUACACUAACCUCUUAGAAAUGGAAUUAGUAAGUCAAAUGGUAGGAACAGUUUAAAAACUCUUGAUAGAUAUUGCCAAGCAGACUUCCAGAAAGGUUACACUAAUUUUCAUUUCUUCCAGCAGCAUAGGAGAAUGCCCCGACACGAUCCUUUUAAAAACCUUUGCAGGUCAGUAUUGAUUUAUUGGUUUAAUUUGUACUUUCUUGAUGACUUGUGAAGUCCAACUUCUUUUCAUUUAUUUACUUCAUUUGCAUUUCUUUGGAAGGCCUCUGUACAGGGGAGUUUGGCUUGAGGAAAAGCUUCUCAGUGGAAAUACUGUUGAAGCUGCCGAGAGUUAUCUGGGCUGAUCCCUUUCCAUGAUGCUUCUCUGGACGACAGGGACCCUCAGCUCCAGGAAGCUAGUGUGCAGCCGUGACCCAGCCAGCUAUCAUUGCUCUGUCCCGGUUCUCGGGGAAGGCCCCUCCAGCCCCUUCCUGCCCCUAGAUGGCACCUCCACAAAGAGCGAAUUUUCUCCCAUCCAUGACCUGGCAAACAGGAGCCAUCACAGGAGUGAAGAUACAUCAACGGAGGGCGGCAGGCACUUGUUUCAUCUCCCUGUUGGUGUAGUGCCUGAGACUUGACUUGUUUUAAAAUUAAAUAUUUUAAAACAUUUAAUUUUAAAAUAUUUAAUUUUAAAACAAACCAAAGGAAACUGAAACCGCCGCAUUGUUAGCAUUGGUUUUUAAGAAGUUCUCCUGGGCCGCCUGGGUGGCUGAGUUGGUUGAGUGUCCAACUCUAAAUUUUGGCUCGGGUCCUGAUCCCAGAGUUGUGGGAUCAAGCCCCGUAUCAGACUCUGUGCUGAGCAUGAAGUCUGCUUAAAAGUCUCUCUCCCGGGGCGCCUGGGUGGCUCAGUCAGUUGAGCAUCCGACUCUUGAUUUCGGCUCAGGUCAUGAUCUCAUGGUUUGUGGGUUCAAGCCCCACGUGGGGUUAUUCGCUGUCAAUACAAAGCCUGCUUGGGAUUCUCUGUCUCCCUGUCUGUCUGCCCCUACCUCUGCUCGUG